AGGCUGAGGCGCCUACUCCAGCCCCCAGCCAGCAAAAUCUCACAGCUAUAAUGUCUUCUCACGGCUGCAAAGUUUUCGCUGAAACUCUCCUAGCUAAUCCUGCUGAAAAGACAUAUGAGGAUGCUAUUGGCGGUGGAUUAACCAUUUUCUGCCCUGGAGAUGAUGUCAUGAAGAACUUUUUACCUAAAUACAAGAAUUUAACUGCUGCAGGGAAGCAAGCUCUGCUAGAAUUUCACGGAAUUCCGAUUUACCAGCCAUUAUCAGGUUUAAAAUCUAGUAACGGCCUUACCA
rnacentral:lncRNA from 1 species